rnacentral:rRNA from 1 species
CCUACGGGAGGCAGCAGUGGGGAAUAUUGGACAAUGGGCGAAAGCCUGAUCCAGCCAUGCCGCGUGUGUGAAGAAGGCCUUCGGGUUGUAAAGCACUUUCAGUGGGGAAGAAAGCCUUGGGGCUAAUACCCUCGAGGAAGGACAUCACCCACAGAAGAAGCACCGGCUAACUCCGUGCCAGCAGCCGCGGUAAUACGGAGGGUGCGAGCGUUAAUCGGAAUUACUGGGCGUAAAGCGCGCGUAGGCGGUCUGAUAAGCCGGUUGUGAAAGCCCCGGGCUCAACCUGGGAACGGCAUCCGGAACUGUCAGGCUAGAGUGCAGGAGAGGGAGGUAGAAUUCCCGGUGUAGCAGUGAAAUGCGUAGAGAUCGGGAGGAAUACCAGUGGCGAAGGCGGCCUUCUGGACUGACACUGACGCUGAGGUACGAAAGCGUGGGUAGCAAACAGGAUUAGAUACCCUAGUAGUC